AGGAUAAUAGUUAAUUUAUAACAUUUAAUUUGCUAUUAAAAAUAAUUUUAAAAAAAUUUAUCUUA
rnacentral:tRNA from 1 species